CUCUGCUGUGAUUCGUGAACAACGGAACAUUACCUCUUAUGCUCAACAACUUACUUUCACAUUUUGCUAUUGUAGUCUACCGGCUUCUUUCGUGACGUUUGCGUGGAGGACUGCGGUUGGUUUUAAGCUGGUUGAAAUCUCGUCGAUCGCCAUCGCACGCGACACAUCGCUUGCAAGUGGUAAUCUUUUUUUCUCCAUGUCAUGUGACAACGUCAGUGCAUUUAUUGAAAACAUUGAACGGAUCACCGAUCACCCCUGUCUGUGUUCGGCCAUGUCCUGCUUGCCGUCGUCUCGCCAGUACGAGUCACGAUCCAUUGGAUUCCGGCUCGGUCUGAGCAAGGCUUUGGCUUUGCCUCUCGUUAUCAGUGUCAGCGAGUCGGUCUACUGUGCACGACCACGCGAAGAGACCAAGGUCGAGUUUACUUCACCUCCAACUCCCAACUUUAUCACUAUGCAAAAAGAAGAUUCCCCAUCACAUCAAACUUGCG
rnacentral:lncRNA from 1 species